AUGGCCCCGAAGCGAGGCGGCAAGGCCCCGGUGCCGGCGAAGAAGAAGGCGGCGGACAAGGUGGUGAACCCGCUGUUCGAGAAGAGGCCGAAGCAGUUCGGCAUCGGCGGGGCGCUGCCGCCCAAGAAGGACCUCCACCGGUUCGUCAAGUGGCCCAAGGUCGUCCGCAUUCAGCGCCAGCGCCGCAUCCUCAAGCAGCGCCUCAAGGUGCCCCCGGCGCUCCACCAGUUCACCCGCACCCUCGACAAGAACCUCGCCACCAACCUGUUUAAGAUGCUUCUCAAGUACCGCCCUGAGGACAAGGUGGCUAAGAAGGAGAGGCUUCUGAAGAGGGCCCAGGCUGAGGCUGAGGGGAAAACCGUUGAGGCCAAGAAGCCAAUUGUUGUGAAGUAUGGUCUUAACCAUGUCACUUACCUCAUCGAGCAGAGCAAGGCUCAGCUGGUCGUCAUCGCUCAUGAUGUUGACCCAAUUGAGCUGGUUGUGUGGCUCCCAGCCCUGUGCAGGAAGAUGGAGGUCCCAUACUGCAUUGUUAAGGGAAAGUCACGCCUUGGAUCGAUCGUUCACAAGAAGACUGCCUCAGUUCUGUGCCUUACCACUGUGAAGAACGAGGACAAGCUUGAGUUCAGCAAGAUCUUGGAGGCUAUCAAGGCUAACUUCAAUGACAAGUUCGACGAGGUCAGGAAGAAGUGGGGCGGUGGUGUCAUGGGCUCCAAGUCGCAGGCCAAGACCAAGGCCAGGGAAAGGCUCAUCGCCAAGGAGGCUGCGCAGAGGAUGAACUAA
rnacentral:rRNA from 1 species